UGCGUAGGGUGCAGGCGUUAAUCGGAAUUACUGGGCGUAAAGGGCGCGUAGGCGGCCUGCUAAGUCGAACGUGAAAUCCCUGGGCUCAACCCAGGAACUGCGUCCGAUACUGGUUGGCUUGAAUCCGGGAGAGGGAUGUGGAAUUCCAGGUGUAGCGGUGAAAUGCGUAGAUAUCUGGAGGAACACCGGUGGCGAAGGCGACAUCCUGGACCGGUAUUGACGCUGAGGCGCGAAAGCCAGGGGAGCAAACGGG
rnacentral:rRNA from 1 species